CUUGAUAGGAUGGCCCCUAAUAGAUGAUUUCUCAAGAUCCAAGACAUAAUAAUUUCCAAAAAAUCAACGGUGUUGAUCCCACACUAAUCUCGAGGAACCCGUGAUGUGGGAAAUGAAUACCUAUGACUUUGGCAAGCAUUAAAUCUACACGCGAGGCACGAGGGUGUCGACGAUCCCCUUCUUCUCUCCCUCCAACCUCCGUCUCAGAUCUCGGUGAUGGGAGGGCCUUUGGCGUGGGGGGAGCUCAUGGCGGCGGCAAUCGCGGGUAGCGACGAGGCGAAGAUGGCGAGGCUUCGCGAGAUCUGUGGGCGGUUCAGGGAUGCGGAGGAGAUGCAUCAGGAAUCACGUCAGGUGGUUGAAGAGGCCUCAGAGGAGGAACAAAGUUGGAUCUCACGGAAGGCCCCGCUCGAGAUCCUCUAUUGGGCAAUGAUGGAGGCGGAAUCCAACGAUCCGGUGCAGCGCGCGCGGUGGUACGAGUACGCGUCGCAAGAUUGGCUUUCGUCCAAUCUGGUCUGGGAUGGUGUGCGGGUGGUGACCACGGUAACAAGUUCACCGCCACACUGUCCGGUGAUGCCUGUCGUGACCGACGACGAUGUGCGGGUGGUGCGGAGGCAAAAUGUGGCGCGGGUGGUUUCACAGUUGCCUCGUCGCUCCCCUCGGUUCCCCCGGCGUUCUGCGCGGAUCCAGGCGCUUGCACAGAGCGCCGCCGACGAGUAGGCGUCUUCCUGGCAGGCAGUCAAUUAUGGCUGCUGCCGGGGAGGAGUCGAGGACUCCUACAAUCGUUUUGCUGCUUCAUUUUCCAAUAAAAGGAGGGAAAUCAAAGGGUGUUGACGCUAGGAGCAUAAGUCAUGGAGUAGGUGGCAGGUGAAGCCUACCGUGCAGCGUGGGGGUGGCGUCAUCCGGGGGUUCUUCUGAGGAUCAUUGGCUGAAUUUCCUCGACUGGCUAUGUCCCUAGCGUGGUGCACCUCUCCUUUGUUGGCCUUGCUUUUGGAUGCCUUGAUUCUCCUUUGAUGAUCCACCUAUUAGACUGAGUUUUUAGUAUUGUUCUUCUGUUAAACUUUUGUGCGCCUUUGGUGUAUAAUAAUAAAUUGGAGUUUGGUGA